CUUCUAGGUAUCUGAAGAUGUUGAAGACCAUUUCCUGGAACAGCAGAGGUAAAUGCCCAGAGGAUGAGAACACAUAGCCAUUAGGAGAGCCUGAAAGUUCAGUGUGACUGAAAGAUGAAGUUCAAGAGAAGGGACAAACUGCAAAACACAAGCUGGAGAGUUUUAGAGAGACUGUGGAAUGGAAUGACUCUCCAGAGCUGCAGAUUGAAGGUGUAUUUUCAUCUGACUUUG
rnacentral:lncRNA from 1 species